rnacentral:rRNA from 1 species
CGUAGGGUGCGAGCGUUAAUCGGACUUACUGGGCGUAAAGUGUGCGCAGGCGGCGCUGCAAGUCGAGUGUGAAAUCCCCGAGCUUAACUUGGGAAUUGCGCUCGAAACUACGGCGCUGGAGUAUGGCAGAGGAAGGUGGAAUUCCACGUGUAGCGGUGAAAUGCGUAGAGAUGUGGAGGAACACCGAUGGCGAAGGCAGCCUUCUGGGCCAAUACUGACGCUCAUGCACGAAAGCGUGGGGAGCAAACAGGAUUAGAUACCCUGGUAGUCCACGCCCUAAACGAUGAUGACUAGUUGUUGGAGGAGUUAAAUCCUUUAGUAACGCAGCUAACGCGUGAAGUCAUCCGCCUGGGGAGUACGGUCGCAAGAUUA